GACGAACGCUGGCGGCGUGCUUAACACAUGCAAGUCGAACGGUAAGGCCCUUCGGGGUACACGAGUGGCGAACGGGUGAGUAACACGUGGGUGAUCUGCCCUGCACUUCGGGAUAAGCCUGGGAAACUGGGUCUAAUACCGGAUAGGACUCCUGGCUUCAUGGUUGGGGGUGGAAAGCUUUUGCGGUGUGGGAUGGGCCCGCGGCCUAUCAGCUUGUUGGUGGGGUAAUGGCCUACCAAGGCGACGACGGGUAGCCGGCCUGAGAGGGUGACCGGUCAAACUGGGACUGAGAUGCGGCCCAGACUCCUACGGGAGGCAGCAGUGGGGAAUAUUGCACAAUGGGCGCAAGCCUGAUGCAGCGACGCCGCGUGAGGGAUGACGGCCUUCGGGUUGUAAACCUCUUUCAGCUAUGACGAAGCGCAAGUGACGGUAGUAGCAGAAGAAGGACCGGCCAACUACGUGCCAGCAGCCGCCGUAA
rnacentral:rRNA from 1 species